rnacentral:rRNA from 1 species
CCUACGGGGGGCUGCAGUGAGGAAUAUUGGUCAAUGGACGAGAGUCUGAACCAGCCAAGUAGCGUGAAGGAUGACUGCCCUAUGGGUUGUAAACUUCUUUUAUAUGGGAAUAAAAUGUUCCACGUGUGGGAUUUUGUAUGUACCAUAUGAAUAAGGAUCGGCUAACUCCGUGCCAGCAGCCGCGGUAAUACGGAGGAUCCGAGCGUUAUCCGGAUUUAUUGGGUUUAAAGGGAGCGUAGAUGGAUUGUUAAGUCAGUUGUGAAAGUUUGCGGCUCAACCGUAAAAUUGCAGUUGAAACUGGCAGUCUUGAGUACAGUAGAGGUGGGCGGAAUUCGUGGUGUAGCGGUGAAAUGCUUAGAGAUCACGAAGAACUCCGAUUGCGAAGGCAGUUCACUGGACUGCAACUGACACUGAGGCUCGAAAGUGUGGGUAUCAAACAGGAUUAGAUACCCCUGUAGUC